rnacentral:rRNA from 1 species
UACGGAGGGAGCUAGCGUUGUUCGGAAUUACUGGGCGUAAAGCGCGCGUAGGCGGCUUUGUAAGUUAGAGGUGAAAGCCCGGGGCUCAACCCCGGAAUAGCCUUUAAGACUGCAUCGCUAGAAUCCGGGAGAGGUGAGUGGAAUUCCGAGUGUAGAGGUGAAAUUCGUAGAUAUUCGGAAGAACACCAGUGGCGAAGGCGGCUCACUGGACCGGCAUUGACGCUGAGGUGCGAAAGCGUGGGGAGCAAACAGG